rnacentral:piRNA from 1 species
UACAUUCACUAGUCCUCCCUGCAC